rnacentral:rRNA from 1 species
GAGGAAUAUUGGUCAAUGGGCGAGAGCCUGAACCAGCCAAGUCGCGUGAAGGAAGAAGGUUCUAUGGAUUGUAAACUUCUUUUGUAAGGGAAUAAAAAGAGUUACGUGUAACUUAUUGUAUGUACUUUACGAAUAAGGAUCGGCUAACUCCGUGCCAGCAGCCGCGGUAAUACGGAGGAUCCAAGCGUUAUCCGGAUUUAUUGGGUUUAAAGGGUGCGUAGGCGGACCCUUAAGUCAGUGGUGAAAGUUUGCAGCUCAACUGUAAAAUUGCCAUUGAAACUGAGGGUCUUGAGUGUAAAUAAGGUAGGCGGAAUGUGUUGUGUAGCGGUGAAAUGCUUAGAUAUAACACAGAACACCAAUUGCGAAGGCAGCUUACUGGGAUACAACUGACGCUGAGGCACGAAAGCGUGGGGAUCAAAC